rnacentral:rRNA from 1 species
AGUGAACGCUGGCGGUAGGCCUAACACAUGCAAGUCGAACGGCAGCACAGUAAGAUCUUGCUCUUACGGGUGGCGAGUGGCGGACGGGUGAGGAAUACAUCGGAAUCUACUUUUUCGUGGGGGUUAACGUAGGGAAACUUACGCUAAUACCGCAUACGACCUACGGGUGAAAGCAGGGGAUCUUCGGACCUUGCGCGAUUGAAUGAGCCGAUGUCGGAUUAGCUAGUUGGCGGGGUAAAGGCCCACCAAGGCGACGAUCCGUAGCUGGUCUGAGAGGAUGAUCAGCCACACUGGAACUGAGACACGGUCCAGACUCCUACGGGAGGCAGCAGUGGGGAAUAUUGGACAAUGGGCGCAAGCCUGAUCCAGCCAUACCGCGUGGGUGAAGAAGGCCUUCGGAUUGUAAAGCCCUUUUGUUGGGAAAGAAAAGCAGCAGGUUAAUACCCCGCUGUUCUGACGGUACCCAAAGAAUAAGCACCGGCUAACUUCGUG